GGUGUCUGGAGGUGAUCGGAAGGGACUGGCUGGAGUGUGGCGGGCUGACAGGUCUGAGGCCUGAAGGACUUCCGGGAACCGCAAAGCACGGUGUGCCUCCGCUGUCCUGAAGAAAAAGCCGCGCGCGGACGACUGGCCGGCCCGCGCUUGCAGCUCCCAGAAGUUGACAGGCAUCCUCCGGUGACCGGUGUGAGUAUGGCAUCAGGAUGAUUUGACUGCAAGCAACAGAAAAAUCAAACAAAAAUGGCCUAAGCCAAGAAGAGAAAUGAUUAUUUCACAUUCCAAGAAGUUUGGGAGUCGAGUGGUUAAACGGCUAAUUAAUCUAGAGCUCAACAGUAUCACCCAGGACCCAUUUUCACUAUGGUGGCUAAAGCUCUGCACCCUUCAGGCUUGCACCAUGGCAGCAGCAGUGACAGUAAAGACACCCUUACACCACAAUGCUCCAUGACCAGGGAGAGGGUCUCCUCUCUCCUGCCCCUUUCUGGAGGCUCCACCGAAGAUUUCUCUUCACAUUCCGUUUCUCAUUCCUGAAGCAGUUGCUGGCAACAGGGAUGGACUUACCGCAAUGGGUACAGAGCAACUAAGAUUCACCACUAGUGAACCAUUUAGGGAUGGCCACGUGACUCAGUUCUGGUCACCAAGGUGGUGGAAGAGAAGUUCUCUUGAGGGGCAUCUGGGAAAGAUUCUUCUGCCUGAUAAAACAGGAGGUAAGCAAGGGUUCUGCUCCCCCAUUUGUUUCUGCCUUUGAACGUGGCUGUGGGAAGACAUGAUGCUUAGUGUUGCUGCAGCUAUCUCAUGACCUUGGGCAAAACAUCCCAACACACAGGAGGGCCAAACAAGCAGUCAGAAGAAGCCUGAGUCUUGUGGGUGUUGUUGAGCAGCUGAACAAACCCUAGGAUGGCUUCCUUCCAGACUUCUUAGGAUUGCGAACAAUGAAGCUCUAUUGUUUAAGCAAGGUAUCGAUGGCUAUUUUCACUUGCCACUGAAAG
rnacentral:lncRNA from 10 species